rnacentral:tRNA from 1 species
GCCUCCUUAGCUCAGUUGGUAGAGCAAUUGACUUUUAAUCAAUGGGUCACUGGUUCGAGCCCUGUAGGGGGCA